AUUCCUAACUUCCUAGCAAGGAGCAAGCAAGACAACUUUUUGAGCUAUCAUCUGGCUCUAUGACCGUGGUGUGAGGAGGGUUUGCACUUGGUGCCAACACAGAGAAAUCAGCCUGCCUAGAGUAGAGGUGAUGAAGGAGGAGGGAAGAAAUCAUCACAUCUCCUGAACUGUCAUCUACGGAGAGGCCUGGCUCUUGGUGCAGUAACAAGGUUUAUGAACAUCCAUACACAGAGAUUGGAACUAUGGAAACGGCACUGCUCUGGAGACUGUGCUGAACCAACAAUAAACUGUGAUGACAAGCAGGGAGCUCUGUCCCUGAGAACACCUCACAGAAAGACUGAAAUCACAGCUGUCGACCUGAGAGGGGAGCAGGAGGUGAAAACUGGAAGGCACUAGUGUAAGUGAUUCUGCAGUGGGCUAACAGAGUGGCCAUGGUAGCAGGAAUGGAAGCCUUGUAUAGACCCAAAUGUGCUCUCUUCAUCAAGGAUUGUGUAGCUACUGCUACCGAUAAAGGCCAAAUAACCACCAGCAAUGAUCAACACAGAGCCUGCAAUAUGACACCAUCCUUGGAAAGACCACCCGGACACUUAGUGGCAUAUUCAUUAUUUUAGAUCUUUUCUACUCUGGAGAGGGUAACCAUUUACCCUUGAAGUGACAUUCCUGGUAUGGAUUUAUCCACAGUGCCUUCCCCAUCUCAGGGCUUACAGACAUCUAGUCUAUUAGCAUCAUAUCCCAUCCAACACUGCCAUGGCAAAGGAGAUGACAAAUGGCCUCAAUCAUAGGCUUCGGUGGUUUUACCAUGUACACCAUCAUCCUGAAGUCUCUAGAUCUCCCUGCUACUUCUUAAUUUGGAGGAAGAGUCACCCUAGAGGACAGGGGUCAGCAAACUGUGACCUGUGCCUUGAAUCUAGUCUGCCACCUGUUUUGGUAGAUAGAGUUUGAUCAGAACACGAUCAUGCCCAUUUAUUUAUGUAUUGCAUAUAUUUGCUUUGGCACUAUAAUGUCAGAACAGGGCAGUUAUGAAAGAAACUGCAUGGACUGUAAAUAUGCUAAAAUUUACUACCCAGCACUUUAUAGAAAAAGUUUCCUGACCUCUGAUUUAGGACGUGAUCUCUUGCUUGCUUAGGGGCUUCCAAAGGGGCUAUGUGAUACAACCAAAAAAGUGCAGACGAGUUAAUUUUUUGUCGGCAAACUUUGACUGACGGAUACAGGAGAUGAGAAAGAGCAAGCAGUUCAGUUCUCUUCCCUCUCUUCCUUCCCUGAAGUGUGCCCUACCUCAGCUUUACCUCAUGAAGAAAGGUUUAAACAUGUGGGUCACCUCAGAGUUGGCAUCCUUUUUUUGGGGGGGGGGAGGAGUCUCACUUUGUCGCCCAGACUGUAGUGCAGUGGUACAAUCCCAGUUCAUUGCAACCUCUGCCUCCUGGGUUCAAGUGAUUCUCCUGCCUCAGCCUCCCAACUAGCUGGGAUUACAGGAGCGCGGCACCAGGCCUGGCUAAUUUUGGUGUUUUUAGUAGAGACGGGGUUUCACCAUUCUGGCCAGGCUGGUCCUCAAUCUCCUGACUUCAGGUGAUCCACCACCUUAGGCUCCAAAAGUGCUGGGAUUACAGGUGUGCAUCACUGCGCCUGGCCAGCACCUUUUACUUGAGAGUAGGUCAGAUUUGGGCCGGGCACGGUGGCUCAUACCUGUAAUCCCAGCACUUUGGGAGGCUAAGGCGGGUGGAUCACAAGGUGAAUAGAUCGAGACCAUCCUGGUCAACAUGGUGAAACCCUGUCUCUACUAAAAAUACAAAAAAUUAACUGGACACGGUGGCACGUGCUGGUAAUCCCAGCUCCUCAGGAGGCUGAGGCAGGAGAAUUGCCUGAACCCAGGAGGUGGAGAUUGCAGUGAGCCGAGAUUGUGCCAUUGCACUCCAGCCUGGGUAACAAGAGCGAAACUCUGUCUCAAAAAAAAAAAAAAAAAAAAAAAAAAGAGAGUAGGUCAGAUUUUUCUGGUACUUAGUAUGUCUAGUAAUUUUGGAUUUUGCCUGAACAUUUUGUAUAUUAUGCUGUGAAGCUUUGGGUCUUAUUAAAAUCCUCUGGAGAACAUAGAUUUUCUGUUGUUUGGUUUUUGUGUUUUAAGCAGAUAAUAAACCUGUCUUAUCUUCUGUGAACAGUGGUUCCAAUAUCCGUUCCAUGU